AGUGAACGCUGGCGGUAGGCCUAACACAUGCAAGUCGAACGGCAGCACAGUAAGAGCUUGCUCUUACGGGUGGCGAGUGGCGGACGGGUGAGGAAUACAUCGGAAUCUACUUUUUCGUGGGGGAUAACGUAGGGAAACUUACGCUAAUACCGCAUACGACCUACGGGUGAAAGCAGGGGAUCUUCGGACCUUGCGCGAUUGAAUGAGCCGAUGUGGGAUUAGCUAGUUGGCGGGGUAAAGGCCCACCAAGGCGACGAUCCGUAGCUGGUCUGAGAGGAUGAUCCGCCGCACUGGAACUGAGACACGCUCCAGACUCCUACGGGAGGCAGCAGUGGGGAAUAUUGGACAAUGGGCGCAAGCCUGAUCCAGCCAUACCGCGUGGGUGAAGAAGGCCUUCGGGUUGUAAAGCCCUUUUGUUGGGAAAGAAAAGCAGCAGGUUAAUACCCCGCUGUUCUGACGGUACCCAAAGAAUAAGCACCGGCUAACUUCGUG
rnacentral:rRNA from 1 species